GGUUAAGUGACUAAGCGUACACGGUGGAUGCCUGGGCAGUCAGAGGCGAUGAAGGACGUACUAACUUGCGAUAAGCGCAGAUAAGGCAGUAAGAGCCGUUUGAGUCUGCGAUUUCCGAAUGGGGAAACCCAACUGCAUAAGCAGUUACUGUUAACUGAAUACAUAGGUUAACAGAGCAAACCGGGGGAACUGAAACAUCUAAGUACCCCGAGGAGAAGAAAUCAACCGAGAUUCCGGUAGUAGCGGCGAGCGAACCUGGAUUAGCCCUUAAGCACUCGGUGAAGUAGGUGAACAAGCUGGAAAGCUUGGCGAUACAGGGUGAUAGCCCCGUAACCGACGCUUCAUCGAGCGUGAAAUCGAGUAGGGCGGGACACGUGAUAUCCUGUCUGAAUAUGGGGGGACCAUCCUCCAAGGCUAAAUACUCCUGACUGACCGAUAGUGAACCAGUACCGUGAGGGAAAGGCGAAAAGAACCCCUGUGAGGGGAGUGAAAUAGAACCUGAAACCGUGUACGUACAAGCAGUAGGAGCACCUUCGUGGUGUGACUGCGUACCUUUUGUAUAAUGGGUCAGCGACUUAUAUUCAGUGGCAAGGUUAACCGUAUAGGGGAGCCGUAGCGAAAGCGAGUCUUAACUGGGCGCUCAGUCUCUGGAUAUAGACCCGAAACCGGGUGAUCUAGCCAUGGGCAGGUUGAAGGUUGAGUAACAUCAACUGGAGGACCGAACCGACUAAUGUUGAAAAAUUAGCGGAUGACUUGUGGCUAGGGGUGAAAGGCCAAUCAAACUCGGAGAUAGCUGGUUCUCCCCGAAAGCUAUUUAGGUAGCGCCUCGGACGAAUACUACUGGGGGUAGAGCACUGUUAAGGCUAGGGGGUCAUCCCGACUUACCAACCCUUUGCAAACUCCGAAUACCAGUAAGUACUAUCCGGGAGACACACGGCGGGUGCUAACGUCCGUCGUGGAGAGGGAAACAACCCAGACCGCCAGCUAAGGUCCCAAAGUAUUGCUAAGUGGGAAACGAUGUGGGAAGGCUCAGACAGCUAGGAUGUUGGCUUAGAAGCAGCCAUCAUUUAAAGAAAGCGUAAUAGCUCACUAGUCGAGUCGGCCUGCGCGGAAGAUGUAACGGGGCUAAGCAAUACACCGAAGCUGCGGCAAUGUCUUUUAGACAUUGGGUAGGGGA
rnacentral:rRNA from 1 species